CGUACACAAAAGCGCAUGUGUUGUGAGCUCGAUGAGUAGGGCGGGACACGUGGUAUCCUGUCUGAAUAUGGGGGGACCAUCCUCCAAGGCUAAAUACUCCUGACUGACCGAUAGUGAACCAGUACCGUGAGGGAAAGGCGAAAAGAACCCCGGCGAGGGGAGUGAAAAAGAACCUGAAACCGUGUACGUACAAGCAGUGGGAGC
rnacentral:rRNA from 1 species